CAGCCGUAAACUAUGCGCGUUAGGUGUACUGGUGACCACGAGUCACCGAGGUGCCGAAGGGAAAAAAACCGUGAAACGUGCCGCCUGGGAAGUACGGUCGCAAGGCUGAAACUUAAAGGAAUUGGCGGGGGGAGCACCGACAACGGGUGGAGCCUGCGGUUUAAUUGGACUCAACGCCGGAAAUCUCACCGGAUAGGACAGCAGGAAUGAUGGCCAGGUUGAUGACCUUGCUUGACAAGCUGAGAGGUGGUGCAUGGCGUGUGACUGU
rnacentral:rRNA from 1 species